AGAGUUUGAUCAUGGCUCAGGACGAACGCUGGCGGCGUGCUUAACACAUGCAAGUCGAACGGUGAAGCCCUUCGCGGUGGAUCAGUGGCGAACGGGUGAGUAACACGUGGGCAAUCUGCCCUGCACUCUGGGACAAGCCCGGGAAACUGGGUCUAAUACCGGAUAUGACCGUGGAGCACAUGGUCUGUGGUGGAAGCUCCGGCGGUUCAGGAUGUCCCGCGGCCUAUCAGCUUGUUGGUGGGGUAACGGCCUACCAAGGCGACGACGGGUAGCCGGCCUGAGAGGGCGACCGGCCACACUGGGACUGAGACACGGCCCAGACUCCUACGGGAGGCAGCAGUGGGGAAUAUUGCACAAUGGGCGAAAGCCUGAUGCAGCGACGCCGCGUGAGGGAUGAAGGCCUUCGGGUUGUAAACCCCUUUCAGCAGGGAAGAAG
rnacentral:rRNA from 1 species